UAAGGAAUAUUGGUCAAUGGGCGGAAGCCUGAACCAGCCAUGCCGCGUGCAGGAAGACGGCCCUACGGGUUGUAAACUGCUUUUGUACCGGAAUAAACCCUGAUAUGUAUAUCAGGCUGAAUGUACGGUAAGAAUAAGGAUCGGCUAACUCCGUGCCAGCAGCCGCGGUAAUACGUAGGGUCCAAGCGUUAUCCGGAAUCACUGGGCGUAAAGCGUGCGUAGGUGGCGUGUUAAGUGAGAUGUUAAAUCGUGUGGCUCAACCAUAUCGAUGCAUCUCAUACUGGCAUGCUAGAGGACAGCAGAGGCAAGUGGAAUUUGUAGUGUAGCAGUGAAAUGCGUAGAUAUUACAAGGAACACCAAUGGCGAAGGCAGCUUGCUGGGCUACUCCUGACACUGAGGUACGAAAGCGUGGGGAGCGAAC
rnacentral:rRNA from 1 species